rnacentral:rRNA from 1 species
GAGGAAGGUGGGGAUGACGUCAAGUCAUCAUGGCCCUUAUGGGUAGGGCUACACACGUGCUACAAUGGCCGGUACAAAGGGUCGCGAACUCGCGAGAGUAAGCUAAUCCCAUAAAGCCGGUCGUAGUCCGGAUUGGAGUCUGCAACUCGACUCCAUGAAGUCGGAAUCGCUAGUAAUAACGGAUCAGAAUGCCGCGGUGAAUACGUUCCCGGGCCUUGUACACACCGCCCGUCACACCAUGGGAGUGGGCUGCACCAGAAGUAGUUAGUCUAACCUUCGGGAGGACGAUUACCACGGUGUGGUUCAUGACUGGGGUGAAGUCGUAACAAGGUAGCCGUAA